rnacentral:rRNA from 1 species
GAGUUUGAUCGUGGCUCAGGAUGAACGCUAGCGGCAGGCUUAACACAUGCAAGUCGAGGGGUAACAGGUUAGUAGCAAUACUGAUGCUGACGACCGGCGCACGGGUGCGUAACGCGUAUGCAACCUACCUUAUACAGGGGGAUAACCUUUCGAAAGGGAGACUAACACCGCAUAACAUUAUUUUCAGGCAUCUGGGGAUAAUUAAAUGAGCGAUCAGGUAUAAGAUGGGCAUGCGUAGCAUUAGUUAGAUGGCGAGGUAACGGCUCACCAUGGCGAUGAUGCUUAGGGG